UCCCCAGGAAACCAAGGAGUAGGGAUGGGGCGCUCUGAGAUGCGGGAGGCGGUGGGGCCCGUUUUUGUGCAGCGCCCCGGGGCUGUGAGCCAAAACACUCAGUACUUCGGCGCGGGCACCCGGCUGUCGGUGCUAGACAACCUGAACAAGGUGACCCUACCCAAGGUGGCUGUCUUUGAACCCUCGGAAGCAGAGAUCGCCCGGACCCAAAAGGCCACGCUCGUGUGCCUGGCCACAGGCUUCUACCCUGACCAUGUGGAGCUGAGCUGGUGGGUGAACGGGAAGGAGGUACAGAGUGGGGUCAGCACAGACCCUCAGCCCUACAAGGAGAACCCCAAGGACAGUGACUCCAAGUACUGCCUGAGCAGCCGCCUGAGGGUCUCGGCCGCCUUCUGGCACAACCCCCGCAACCACUUCCGCUGCCAAGUCCAGUUCUACGGGCUCGACGAAAAAGACAACUGGACCCUGCCUUGGGACAAACCCCUCACCCAGAACAUCAGUGCUGAGGCCCAGGGCAGAGCAGACUGUGGCUUCACCUCGGUGUCCUAUCAACAAGGGGUCCUAUCUGCCACCAUCCUCUAUGAGAUCCUGCUGGGGAAGGCCACCGUGUAUGCUGUGCUGGUCAGCGCCCUGGUGCUCAUGGCCAUGGUCAAGAGAAAGGACUUCUGAGGCCAGCUGCAAAAGUGCAUCCUGAGUCAUUCUUCAUCCUCAGCCAGAUUGUCCAGUACCUGCUCCCAACUGUGUCCCUAAAGAGUUACUCUCUUUCUACCAUCUCCUUCCAACAUGAAUAUCCCAUAUCUGUCUCUUCUUUCUGUUUCCCCUGCUGACUGAGAUCCAAGCCCCAAAGUCUGUAAUCAACUUAGCCAAUAAAUAUGGCCUGCUGGGCCUGGUUGUUUCCA